UGCCAGCCGCCGCGGUAAUACGAAGGUCCCAAGCGUUGUUCGGAAUCACUGGGCGUAAAGCGUGUGUAGGCUGCGCGGAAAGUCAAAUGUGAAAGCCCGGGGCUCAACCUCGGAACUGCAUUCGAUACUCCCGUGCUAGAGUAAUGGAGAGGUAAGUGGAAUUCCUGGUGUAGCAGUGAAAUGCGUAGAUAUUUGGAGGAACACCAGUGGCGAAGGCGGCUCACUGGCUCGAUACUGACGCUGAGGUACGAAAGUGUGGGGAGCAAACAGGAUUAGAUA
rnacentral:rRNA from 1 species